rnacentral:rRNA from 1 species
CUACGUGCCAGCAGCCGCGGUAAUACGUAGGGCGCGAGCGUUGUCCGGAAUUAUUGGGCGUAAAGAGCUUGUAGGCGGUUUGUCGCGUCUGCUGUGAAAGGCCGGGGCUUAACCCCGUGUAUUGCAGUGGGUACGGGCAGACUAGAGUGCAGUAGGGGAGACUGGAAUUCCUGGUGUAGCGGUGGAAUGCGCAGAUAUCAGGAGGAACACCGAUGGCGAAGGCAGGUCUCUGGGCUGUAACUGACGCUGAGAAGCGAAAGCAUGGGGAGCGAACAGGAUUAGAUACCCUGGUAGUCCAUGCCGUAAACGUUGGGCACUAGGUGUGGGGGACAUUCCACGUUUUCCGCGCCGUAGCUAACGCAUUAAGUGCCCCGCCUGGGGAGUACGACCGCAAGGUUGAAACUCAAAGGAAUUGACGGGGGCCCGCACAAGCGGUGGAGCAUGUGGUUUAAUUCGAAGCAACGCGAAGAACCUUACCAGGUCUUGACAUCCCUCUGACCGCUCUAGAGAUAGAGUUUUC